rnacentral:rRNA from 1 species
AACGCUGGCGGCGUGCCUAAUACAUGCAAGUCGAGCGAACAGACGAGGAGCUUGCUCCUCUGACGUUAGCGGCGGACGGGUGAGUAACACGUGGAUAACCUACCUAUAAGACUGGGAUAACUUCGGGAAACCGGAGCUAAUACCGGAUAAUAUAUUUAACCGCAUGGUUCAAUAGUGAAAGACGGUUUUGCUGUCACUUAUAGAUGGAUCCGCGCCGCAUUAGCUAGUUGGUAAGGUAACGGCUUACCAAGGCAACGAUGCGUAGCCGACCUGAGAGGGUGAUCGGCCACACUGGAACUGAGACACGGUCCAGGCUCCUACGGGAGGCAGCAGUAGGGAAUCUUCCGCAAUGGGCGAAAGCCUGACGGAGCAACGCCGCGUGAGUGAUGAAGGUCUUCGGAUCGUAAAACUCUGUUAUUAGGGAAGAACAAAUGUGUAAGUAACUAUGCACGUCUUGACGGUACCUAAUCAGAAAGCCACGGCUAACUACGUG